CAAGUCGAGGGGCAGCAUUUUAGUUUGCUUGCAAACUGAAGAUGGCGACCGGCGCACGGGUGAGUAACACGUAUCCAACCUGCCGACAACUCCGGAAUAGCCUUUCGAAAGAAAGAUUAAUACCGGAUGGCAUACGAAUAUCGCAUGAUAUUUUUAUUAAAGAAUUUCGGUUAUCGAUGGGGAUGCGUUCCAUUAGUUUGUUGGCGGGGUAACGGCCCACCAAGACUACGAUGGAUAGGGGUUCUGAGAGGAAGGUCCCCCACAUUGGGACUGAGACACGGUCCAAACUCCUACGGGAGGCAGCAGUGAGGAAUAUUGGUCAAUGGGCGAGAGCCUGAACCAGCCAAGUAGCGUGAAGGAUGAAGGCUCUAUGGGUCGUAAACUUCUUUUAUAUGGGAAUAAAGUUUUCCACGUGUGGAAUUUUGUAUGUACCAUAUGAAUAAGGAUCGGCUAACUCCGUGCCAGCAGCCGCGGUAAUACGGAGGAUCCGAGCGUUAUCCGGAUUUAUUGGGUUUAAAGGGAGCGUAGGUGGAUUGUUAAGUCAGUUGUGAAAGUUUGCGGCUCAACCGUAAAAUUGCAGUUGGAACUGGCAGUCUUGAGUACAGUAGAGGUGGGCGGAAUUCGUGGUGUAGCGGUGAAAUGCUUAGAUAUCACGAAGAACUCCGAUUG
rnacentral:rRNA from 1 species